AGCCCCGUAGUGUAGUGGCCUAUCACAGCCGGCUUUGGACCGGCGAACUCAGGUUCGAAUCCUGGCGGGGCUA
rnacentral:tRNA from 1 species